rnacentral:tRNA from 1 species
GCGGGUGUAGCUCAGUUGGUUAGAGCGCAUGAUUGUGGAUCAUGAGGUCGUGGGUUCAAUUCCCAUCACUCGCCCCA